rnacentral:RNase_P_RNA from 1 species
GAAGUUCGCCAGGCAGUCGCUGCGUACCUCGUGUGCGUGGAGGAAAGUCCGGGCCCCGCAGAGCAGGAUGCCGGCUAACGGCCGGGCGCCGUGAGGCGACGGAAAGUGCAACAGAAAGCAAACCGCCGAUGGCCUGUUCUCAGGCACAGGUAAGGGUGAAAUGGUGGGGUAAGAGCCCACCGCAGGACUGGCAACAGGACUGGCACGGCAAACCCCAUCCGGGGCAAGGCCAAAUAGGGGAGCAAUGGCGUGGCUCGCGCUGCUCCCGGGUAGGCUGCUAGAGCGCCGUGGCAACACGGCCCCCAGAGGAAUGACUGCCCGGCGGUCGCGACGCGAGUUGCGGCCGUUCGACAAAACCCGGCUUAUCGGCGAACUUCCCCU